rnacentral:rRNA from 1 species
UGGGGAAUUUUGGACAAUGGGCGAAAGCCUGAUCCAGCAAUGCCGCGUGUGUGAAGAAGGCCUUCGGGUUGUAAAGCACUUUUGUCCGGAAAGAAAUCCUUGGCUCUAAUACAGUCGGGGGAUGACGGUACCGGAAGAAUAAGCACCGGCUAACUACGUGCCAGCAGCCGCGGUAAUACGUAGGGUGCAAGCGUUAAUCGGAAUUACUGGGCGUAAAGCGUGCGCAGGCGGUUUGCUAAGACCGAUGUGAAAUCCCCGGCUCAACCUGGGAACUGCAUUGGUGACUGGCAGGCUAGAGUAUGGCAGAGGGGGGUAGAAUUCCACGUGUAGCAGUGAAAUGCGUAGAGAUGUGGAGGAAUACCGAUGGCGAAGGCAGCCCCCUGGGCCAAUACUGACGCUCAUGCACGAAAGCGUGGGGAGCAAACAGGAUUAGAUACCCUGGUAGUCCACGCCCUAAACGAUGUCAACUAGUUGUUGGGGAUUCAUUUCCUUAGUAACGUAGCUAACGCGUGAAGUUGACCGCCUGGGGAGUACGGUCGCAAGAUUAAAACUUAAAUGAAUUGAC